rnacentral:lncRNA from 1 species
UCAACUUUUCAACUUAAAUUUUCUUUGUCAAUAUCAACUUGACAUAUUAAUCCUCAAAACUCACCGUACAACUUAUGAGAGUUAACCUCAAUUUUUCACCAUAACACUCAACCACAUGAACAUUUUCAAAUCAUAUAUUGCCGAAGAUUUAUUCACACAUAUAAUCAAACUAAAAUCAAUCACUCAUCAUUUAACAUUUUGCAUAUACCUUAAUGAAUAUAAAUUACUAUAUAAAGUACACAACACCCCUAGUUAUAACUAAUAAUAUAUAUACAAGUAACACAUUUCUUGUGCUCAUCGAAACUUAUUAUUAGCGAUUCCCCUUACCUCGAAGCUUUCCAAAAUAACUCGAGCAAUCACCUUCUUCUAUGAUACCUAUUCACUUAUAGAAACAAGUGUCUCUUAACUAACUAUAAUUGUAAUUACAAGUCUAACAUCAUUAAAGUGUUAAAGUAAAUUAUUCAAGAACAAGAAGCAUUGUAAUAUUAACAAGAACAUUGAAUGACAAGAAAAUCGCAUGGCAUUUCUAAUCAUGUAUAUGGCUUCAGAUCAUUUAAACAAACACUUUCCACCCAUCAUAAUACUAAUCUAAAUGUUUAGAAGGAUAUGGUUAUGUUACCAUGUUUUCGAUUUCUAUCUUUGAUUUUAUUUUAUUUCUAAACAAUUAAGUAAAUGAAUGUUGCUUAGUUAAAACUUAGGGAAUUAUUAUAGAGUAGUGACCGAGUCCAAUAUCAAAACAAAGCCAAAUAAAGGUAAACAACCAGUAACUAACUAGUAUAUUGAAUAAGUACACCCUGUUUUUGAAAGAAAAUGACUUUUAGCUUCAUUGAUUUAAUUGUCUAAGCUAAAAACUGCUAGAAAUAGAACACUAAUGACAUAACCAACAUGUGAAUAAGUGACAUGAAUGUUUUAGAAGUUUUAGAAAGAAGGAACAAAAGAACCUAAACUUGAAAGUUAUUGAAAUUAAAGUAAUAGAAAGUUUUAAAGUGAAUGAAAAAGACUAAUUUUUUUAAAAGGACAAACAAACAAAAUAAAAGAAUUUAAGAAGAAGGAAGAGUUUCGGACCUUAACAUUCCUGGCUUCUUUUGAGAGUGAUAGUUGU